rnacentral:rRNA from 1 species
UGGGGAAUCUUGCACAAUGGGGGCAACCCUGAUGCAGCGACGCCGCGUGAGCGAUGAAGCCCUUCGGGGCGUAAAGCUCUUUCGACCGGAACGAUAAUGACGGUACCGGGAGAAGAAGCUGCGGCUAACUACGUGCCAGCAGCCGCGGUAAUACGUAGGCAGCAAGCGUUGUUCGGCGUUACUGGGCGUAAAGAGUGCGUAGGCGGUUUUCUAAGUUCGGUGUGAAAUCUCCCGGCUUAACUGGGAGGGGGCGCCGAGGACUGGGAUGCUGGAGUGUGGGAAAGGCAAGCGGAAUUCCUGGUGUAGCGGUGAAAGGCGUAGAUAUCAGGAAGAACACCGGCGGUGUAGACGGCUUGCUAGACCAUAACUGCCGCUGAGGCACGAAAGCGUUGGUAGCAAACA